UACAGAGGUCUCAAGCGUUGUUCGGAUUCAUUGGGCGUAAAGGGGUGCGUAGGCGGCGCGGUAAGUCGGGUGUGAAAUCUUGGAGCUUAACUCCGAAACUGCAUUCGAUACUGCCGUGCUUGAGGACUGGAGAGGAGACUGGAAUUUACGGUGUAGCGGUGAAAUGCGUAGAUAUCGUAAGGAAGACCAGUGGCGAAGGCGGGUCUCGUGGACAGUUCCUGACGCUGAGGCACGAAGGCCAGGGGGAGCAAACGGGG
rnacentral:rRNA from 1 species